rnacentral:rRNA from 1 species
AGUGAACGCUGGCGGUAGGCCUAACACAUGCAAGUCGAACGGCAGCACAGUAAGAGCUUGCUCUUACGGGUGGCGAGUGGCGGACGGGUGAGGAAUACAUCGGAAUCUACUUUUUCGUGGGGGAUAACGUAGGGAAACUUACGCUAAUACCGCAUACGACCUACGGGCGAAAGCAGGGGAUCUUCGGACCUUACGCGAUUGAAUGAGCCGAUGUCGGAUUAGCUAGUUGGCGGGGUAAAGGCCCACCAAGGCGACGAUCCGUAGCUGGUCUGAGAGGAUGAUCAGCCACACUGGAACUGAGACACGGUCCAGACUCCUACGGGAGGCAGCAGUGGGGAAUAUUGGACAAUGGGCGCAAGCCUGAUCCAGCCAUACCGCGUGGGUGAAGAAGGCCUUCGGGUUGUAAAGCCCUUUUGUUGGGAAAGAAAAGCAGCAGGUUAAUACCCCGCUGUUCUGACGGUACCCAAAGAAUAAGCACCGGCUAACUUCGUG